rnacentral:rRNA from 1 species
GGAAGUAAAAAAUCGUAACAAGGUCUCCGUUGGUGAACCAGCGGAGGGAUCAUUAAAGAGUUUUCUACAACUCCCAAACCCCUGUGAACGUACCUUCUGUUGCCUCGGCAGGCCUCGCCUACCCUCGUAGCCCCCUACACCGUAGGGCCUACGCGGGGGGUGCGGGGACCCUGCCGGCGGCCCGCAAAACUCUGUUUAGCACUGAAUCUCUGAACAUGCAACUAAAUAAGUUAAAACUUUCAACAACGGAUCUCUUGGUUCUGGCAUCGAUGAAGAACGCAGCGAAAUGCGAUAAGUAAUGUGAAUUGCAGAAUUCAGUGAAUCAUCGAAUCUUUGAACGCACAUUGCGCCCAUUAGUAUUCUAGUGGGCAUGCCUGUUCGAGCGUCAUUUCAACCCUUAAGCCCCUGUUGCUUAGCGUUGGGAGCCUACGGCAGCGUAGCUCCCCAAAGUUAGUGGCGUGGUCGGUUCACACUCCAGACGUAGUAGAUUUUCGUCUCGCCUGUAGUUGGACCGGUCCCCUGCCGUAAAACACCCCAAUUCUGAAAGGUGACCUCG